rnacentral:rRNA from 1 species
CCUACGGGCGGCUGCAGUAAGGAAUAUUGGUCAAUGGACGCAAGUCUGAACCAGCCAUGCCGCGUGGAGGAUGAAGGUCCUCUGGAUUGUAAACUUCUUUUAUUUGGGAAGAAACUCCCGAUUUCCAUCGGGAUUGACGGUACCAGAUGAAUAAGCACCGGCUAACUCCGUGCCAGCAGCCGCGGUAAUACGGAGGGUGCCAGCGUUAUCCGGAUUAAAUGGGUUUUAGGGGUGCAGGGGUGGGAGUGUUGAAAUCUCCGGGCUUAACCCGGAAACUUCCAUUGAUACUAUUUGUCUUGAAUACUCUGGAGGUGAGCGGAAUAUGUCAUGUAGCGGUGAAAUGCUUAGAUAUGACAUAGAACACCCAUUGCGAAGGCAGCUCACUACGGAAAUAUUGACGCUGAGGCACGAAAGCGUGGGGAUCAAACAGGAUUAGAUACCCUGGUAGUC